rnacentral:rRNA from 1 species
AACGAACGCUGGCGGCAGGCUUAACACAUGCAAGUCGAACGCCCCGCCAGGGGAGUGGCCGCCGGGUGAGUAACGCGUGGGAACAUACCCUUUCCUGCGGAAUAGCUCCGGGAAACUGGAAUUAAUACCGCAUACGCCCUACGGGGGAAAGAUUUAUCGGGGAAGGAUUGGCCCGCGUUGGAUUAGCUAGUUGGUGGGGUAAAGGCCUACCAAGGCGACGAUCCAUAGCUGGUCUGAGAGGAUGAUCAGCCACAUUGGGACUGAGACACGGCCCAAACUCCUACGGGAGGCAGCAGUGGGGAAUAUUGGACAAUGGGCGCAAGCCUGAUCCAGCCAUGCCGCGGGAGUGAUGAAGGCCUUAGGGUUGUAAAGCUCUUUCACCGAUGAAGAUAAGGACGGUAGUCGGAGAAGAAGCCCCGGCGAACUUCGG